rnacentral:lncRNA from 1 species
ACAUUUUUUUAUUUUAUUUUCUCUACUUUGUCUCUCGUUUUCUCUGUCACAGACGAAAGAUCGAAACCGAGGAUCUCCACCACCGAUCCUCCGUCUUUGUUCUCGUCUUCUCCGUGACAGAGGGAGGAUCGAAACCCACAUCUGAUCGAAACCCACCACCAAGGACGACGACUCUCUUGCUCCUCACGGUGUCUCGUCCGUCGUCUCUCGUCUUCUCCGACAGUAGAAAGAUCGAAACCCACCACCGAUAGUCCGUCUUCUCCUCCGUCUUAUCUCGUCUUCUCCGUCAGACGAGUCUCAACAACGUCAUCUCUCUCCGCCACCGCUCUCGGAUCCCUCGAUUCCUCUGUCCCUCAAUUCCUCG